rnacentral:rRNA from 1 species
UACGUAGGGGGCAAGCGUUGUCCGGAUUUAUUGGGCGUAAAGAGCGUGUAGGCGGCCAUACAGGUCAGCUGUGAAAACUCGAGGCUCAACCUCGAGACGUCGGUUGAAACCGUAUGGCUAGAGUCCGGAAGAGGAGAGUGGAAUUCCCGGUGUAGCGGUGAAAUUCGUAGAUAUUCGCAAGAACACCAGUGGCGAAGGCGGCUCACUGGCCCGGUACUGACGCUGAGGCACGAAAGCGUGGGGAGCAAACAGG